rnacentral:rRNA from 1 species
UACGUAGGGGGCUAGCGUUGUCCGGAAUCAUUGGGCGUAAAGAGCGUGUAGGCGGCCCGGUAAGUCCGCUGUGAAAGUCGGGGGCUCAACCCUCGAAUGCCGGUGGAUACUGUCGGGCUAGAGUGCGGAAGAGGCGGAGUGGAAUUCCUGGUGUAGCGGUGAAAUGCGCCAGAGUAUCAGGAGGAACACCAAUUGCGAAGGCAGCUCGCUGGGACGUUACUGACGCUGGAGACGCGAAAGCGUGGGGAGCAAACAGG